CAUCAAGAUCAUGAUGCGGAAACCCAUAGAGACAGCUGAUCCAAGCUAGUGGGAACUCACGGACUCUGGACUGACAGCGAGGGAGCCUGCAUGGGAUCGGUCUAGACCCUCUAUAUACGGGAAACAGUUGUGCAGCUGGGCCUGUUUAAGGAGCCCUGGAAGUGUGAUUAGGAUGUAUCCCUGUUUUUUUGCAGAUUAUUUAACAGUCUGAGAAGUUUCCAGCUGUCAUCAAUCACAGCACAAUUUCAGAUCUAUCCGAAGCCAGGAAAUUCCAUGUCUCUAUUUGCCUCUCUGGGGGAGCAUUUUCACAUGUUUGUCAUAGAUGAGGAAUAUUUCUGGUAGUAACCAUUCACUUCAGGACACAUCCUUCUGUAGUAGAGCCACACCUGUGUUUCUGGCUGUUUUCUUCAAAUUACGGGAAGAACAUCAUCCCCAUUAUACAAAAAUACUUUCUCAAUUGCCACAACAGAAGAAAAUGCAUACAAAUACCUACUCAACUGUACUGAAAAUAAUAUGAUUAUACUUGAGCAAUCCCUCUUAGCAACCAACAUUUUUUGAAAGGCCACCUCCACUUGUGAUCUCCUCCAAAGAAAAGAAGAAGAAAAUAAAAAUAAAUGAAAGAAAAUGGAAAACCAAGUGCAAAUUACUCACUGUAAUAGCCGAACUGUACUCACUGUAGCAUAGCCGAACUCUGAAUGGUCAGCCCCUUAAAGAAAACUAAGACCUCUGUGCCCAACCCUUCCAGAAACCAUAAAUUCUGAAGAGCUUCCCUUCAGGAUCCCUAUCACAAACUUUAAGGAUUCUCUUCAAUGGCUUCAUGUCUAGACUGCUUUCUUUUGUUGGGGGAUGAGAGAAGUCACAGAAGCCUCUGGCUGGAAGAAGGACCAGGGAUGUCAUCAUUACUUUCAUUAGCAGUACAGGCCACAGACAUCAACACUGCCUCAGGUGGCUGCACAGGCUAUGCACAUUAACUUGGACCCCGAUUACAACAUGGCCCACAGACAUCAGCAUGGUUUCAGCUGGCGGCAGAGUCCAUGGAAACCAACUUGGCCCUUCAUAGGACUGCAACAUGGCCUCGGGCUUUGUUUCUAACUCAAAGGGUAAAUUAAACUCCUGAAGUUGGACCCAAUUAAUACAUAAUUAUUUGGUUUAGAACUUCUGUAAUAUAAUCCAAUUAUAUGAGUUCUUCCUAUAAUAGAAUACAUUCUGAUGUCUUUACAAUGAAGAAAAUCUGGAGUUCAGGACAUACUGAAGUUUGGGUGUGAAGACAACUUGAAAUCAUAAUGGUAUACUAAAAGACAGGGCAUACAUACAAUGACGGUGAUCAACUAUGACUGAGAUGACAAUAUUAAAAGGUCUUUUAUGGCAUUCAGAAAGAGACUAUACUGUUGACAACUUAAAUGAAAAUAUCAUUUCCAGAUAUGAGGAUGUAACGGAACAAGCUGUUUUACAUAUACACUGUUGAGGAUAAUGUAUUAUGGAAGUUCUAAGAAAAUAAUAAGUGUCCUGACUUAGUGACUAAGAUAAUAUUUGGAAGUUGGCAUUGAUUAUUAUCAGAGCACUUGUAAGACAGGUCUGCAAAUUCUACAAGUAAGUUUGACUUCAUUUUGAUUCCAAGUAAGAUUUACAUUAAUGAAGAUAAUUUGUCUGGGAGUUAGGAAUAGUUGAUUAUUGAGUCAUACAUACAAUUUUAUACCAUUCUUGUUGUGUUAAUGAAAGAUAAAUAUACUAUAUGAUUUGUCA